UAGAAGAAGAUGCACCAGAGCAUAUGGAUGACAGGAUGGAGAGCCUUGAGGGUCGCGAUUUCCAAAGAUCCUCAUUUAGCGACCAACGUCAGAUAUGAAUAUCGCUUCUCAAUCACCUCUCUUCGUUCCAUUGGAAAAUGUAAGAUAUCGUCAGUAUAUUAAAGAUGAUCCACUGUUUAUUAAGCUGAUUGAUGAUUGAAAAGGUUGGAAAUUGGCUCUUUUCCAUACUUUGUGCUUUAUACAUUGUCGUCAGUCGAACGUUGGUUAGGGGCAUGGUGACAAUAUUUAUAUAUUCUGUCAUUGCCUGGCUAAUUUCUUUUGAAAGUGAUUUCACUUUAAAAUGACAUCAGUCUGGCUUAACAGAAUAUGUGAAACGUCCCCUUACAAUUAACAUUCGAUUGACGCCAGUGUCUGUAUAGUGCAUGGUAUUUGAAGUGGAAAAAUUGCGACUUUGUGAAGAGUAAUUCUGUUUUUUAGUCCUGGUUCAAACGUCGAAUUUACAUGGACCAAACGCAUUAAAACAAAAGAUAAUAAGGAAGUUUGUCUCAUUUUCUUUUGUUUUUAAUGGGUUUGGUGCAUGUAAAGUUCGACGUUUAAAACAGACUUAAGUAGUUGAAAUACUGAGUUUUGUGCGUAAGCUCGAAGUGACUGUGUAAAUGUACAUUGUGGUGAUUAUAGGCUUGUGAUGUUUCCAAACGGAAAUUGAUGUUUUUCUUUAAACUGCAAUACAUAUGACGAGUGUUUGUGUGUUUGUGUCAAAUGCCGGCGAAGUUUGGUUAAAUGAUGUAUGUAGCUACGACAUUUAUCUUAUUUUCUUAGUGUUUUCUUCAUUAUUCUUGUUUUAUGAAAGUACUACUCAGUCAACAGUGCUUCAAAUUACCAAUGGUAUGUUUGUCGACUGUAACAGUGUAGCAUCAAUGCUUUUGUUAGGUGAUGAUGGUUUGUGUUUGUGCAUAAUUCACUUUUAAAAUGCCUGCUAAGACAUUUAAUGUGUGACAUUUAGAGUGCGUUAUGGCAUUAUUCGAUGAUAAGAAUGAUUUCUCUUUAUAGUGACAGAUUUGUUGAGUAAAAGUUUUUAUUGUUGAAUAAGAAGUAUAUAUAUCAAAUUUUGUUAAGGCUUCAAAAUGUUUUUAAGAAUAGUGAAAUUCAAUAGCAUUCGGGUAAAUUGAUUAAUGCUAGCAAUUUUUUUCAAUGAACGAUAUUUUUUGGAACUGCAUCAUCAAGGUAGUAAUUAUUCUUCAAUUAUAAAAUAUUUUUGUAACUUAAUAUAUCCUUUUUGUUCAAUAUAUAUUUUAUGUUGAAUCAAUAAAAGCAUACCAAAUA